UUAACUCAGAUUUGUAUGGAAUGGGGUCGUUUGCGUACGUUUGCCGCUAGGGGCGCUGUUCCAACUGCAUACAAACUUGGCUUA
rnacentral:pre_miRNA from 1 species